AUUGAACGCUGGCGGCAGGCCUAACACAUGCAAGUCGAACGAGUGGCGGACGGGUGAGUAAUGUCUGGGAAACUGCCUGAUGGAGGGGGAUAACUACUGGAAACGGUAGCUAAUACCGCAUACCAUCGGAUGUGCCCAGAUGGGAUUAGCUAGUAGGUGGGGUAAAGGCUCACCUAGGGGACGAUCCCUAGCUGGUCUGAGAGGAUGACCAGCAACACGGGAACUGGGACACGGUCCAGACCCCUACGGGAGGAAGCGGGGGGGAAUAUGGCACAAGGGGGGAAAGCCUGAGGCAGCAAUGCCGGGUGUAUGAAGAAGGCCUUCGGGUUGUAAAGUACUUUCAGCGGGGAGGCGUUACCCGAAGAAGAAGCACCGGCUAACUCCGUGCCAGCGGCCGCGGUAAUU
rnacentral:rRNA from 1 species